ACGCUAGCGACAGGCUUAACACAUGCAAGUCGAGGGGCAUCAUGAGGUAGCAAUACCUUGAUGGCGACCGGCGCACGGGUGAGUAACGCGUAUGCAACCUGCCCGAUACCGGGGUAUAGCCCAUGGAAACGUGGAUUAACACCCCAUAGUACUUUUAUCCUGCAUGGGAUGUGAGUUAAAUGUUCAAGGUAUCGGAUGGGCAUGCGUCCUAUUAGUUAGUUGGCGGGGUAACAGCCCACCAAGACGAUGAUAGGUAGGGGUUCUGAGAGGAAGGUCCCCCACAUUGGAACUGAGACACGGUCCAAACUCCUACGGGAGGCAGCAGUGAGGAAUAUUGGUCAAUGGACGAGAGUCUGAACCAGCCAAGUCGCGUGAGGGAAGACUGCCCUAUGGGUUGUAAACCUCUUUUAUAAGGGAAGAAUAAGUUCUACGUGUAGAAUGAUGCCUGUACCUUAUGAAUAAGCAUCGGCUAACUCCGUGCCAGCAGCCGCGGUAAUACGGAGGAUGCGAGCGUUAUCCGGAUUUAUUGGGUUUAAAGGGUGCGUAGGCGGUUUAUUAAGUUAGUGGUUAAAUAUUUGAGCUAAACUCAAUUGUGCCAUUAAUACUGGUAAACUGGAGUACAGACGAGGUAGGCGGAAUAAGUUAAGUAGCGGUGAAAUGCAUAGAUAUAACUUAGAACUCCGAUAGCGAAGGCAGCUUACCAGACUGUAACUGACGCUGAUGCACGAGAGCGUGGGUAGCGAACAGGAUUAGAUACCCUGGUAGUCCACGCCGUANACGAUGCUCACUGGUUCUGUGCGAUAUAUUGUACGGGAUUAAGCGAAAGUAUUAAGUGAGCCACCUGGGGAGUACGUCGGCAACGAUGAAACUCAA
rnacentral:rRNA from 1 species